AUUGAACGCUGGCGGCAGGCUUAACACAUGCAAGUCGAGCGGAGAUGAGGUGCUUGCACCUUAUCUUAGCGGCGGACGGGUGUGUAAUGCUUAGGAAUCUGCCUAUUAGUGGGGGACAACAUUCCGAAAGGAAUGCUAAUACCGCAUACGCCCUACGGGGGAAAGCAGGGGAUCUGCGGACCUUGCGCUAAUAGAUGAGCCUAAGUCGGAUUAGCUAGUUGGUGGGGUAAAGGCCUACCAAGGCGACGAUCUGUAGCGGGUCUGAGAGGAUGAUCCGCCACACUGGGACUGAGACACGGCCCAGACUCCUACGGGAGGCAGCAGUGGGGAAUAUUGGACAAUGGGCGGAAGCCUGAUCCAGCCAUGCCGCGUGUGUGAAGAAGGCCUUUUGGUUGUAAAGCACUUUAAGCGAGGAGGAGGCUACCUGGAUUAAUACUCUAGGAUAGUGGACGUUACUCGCAGAAUAAGCACCGGCUAACUCUGUGCCAGCCGCCGCCGUAAGAC
rnacentral:rRNA from 1 species